rnacentral:rRNA from 1 species
CCUACGGGCGGCAGCAGUGGGGAAUAUUGGACAAUGGGCGAAAGCCUGAUCCAGCCAUGCCGCGUGUGUGAAGAAGGCCUUCGGGUUGUAAAGCACUUUCAGUGGGGAAGAAAGCCUUGGGGCUAAUACCCUCGAGGAAGGACAUCACCCACAGAAGAAGCACCGGCUAACUCCGUGCCAGCAGCCGCGGUAAUACGGAGGGUGCGAGCGUUAAUCGGAAUUACUGGGCGUAAAGCGCGCGUAGGCGGUCUGAUAAGCCGGUUGUGAAAGCCCCGGGCUCAACCUGGGAACGGCAUCCGGAACUGUCAGGCUAGAGUGCAGGAGAGGAAGGUAGAAUUCCCGGUGUAGCGGUGAAAUGCGUAGAGAUAGGGAGGAAUACCAGUGGCGAAGGCGGCCUUCUGGACUGACACUGACGCUGAGGUGCGAAAGCGUGGGUAGCAAACAGGAUUAGAUACCCGUGUAGUC